rfam:Ipomoea nil DNA, scaffold: scaffold1317, cultivar: Tokyo-kokei standard.
GGAGAUGUAGCUCAUAUGGUAGAGCGCUCGCUUUGUAUGCGAGAGGUACGGGGAAUGCUACCCUGCAUCUCCA